GAGUUUCUCCAAUAAAGCAACACAGUGUUCCACUGUGUUUCGUCAUUACCUGACUAGAAUGGAUCAAGACCUUUUCAUGAGUCACAGUGAAUAAUUAGAGCGGCCUCCGUGUACUGCACCAGUCCACUGCCGCCCAGACAUACGGCCGCACAAAUCUCACACCCGAUGUCCCUUUCUCCGGACGUCAAAGAACGUUCACGUAGUGUUUUGGGGAGACUGUCAAACACUGGACUUGACUCCUGUUUUCUAUUACAGUUACAGUUGAGAGUUGUUUGACCUAUAUGGAUACUCUCUGUUGGGACUUUAUUGAAUUGUGGGUAGCUAAAACAUACAAUAUGAUCAUGUGAUCGGGACCUGUAUCGUUAUGUUUUGGGGUAUUUUUGCACUAUUGAUGCUACUGGUGUUGAAAUGUACGAUUAUUUUUGCAUUGAUUGCAGUGUUGCCACAGUUACCUUGAAAAAGUAAUCAGAUUACUGAUAACCAGUUACUCCUUCAAAUAGUAACUUAGUUACUUUACUGAUUACUUGAUUUUAAAAGUAACUAAGUUAGAUUACAAGUUACUUUAUUAGUUACAUUUAGCUGUUGCCAACACUAACCCCCCCCCCUAUCAACAACACACACACACACACACACACACACACACACACACACACACACACACACACACACACACACACACACACACACACACACACACACACA